UACGUAGGGUGCAAGCGUUGUCCGGAAUUAUUGGGCGUAAAGAGCUCGUAGGCGGUCUGUCGCGUCUGCUGUGAAAACUCGGGGCUUAACCCCGGGCCUGCAGUGGGUACGGGCAGACUAGAGUGCGGUAGGGGAGACUGGAAUUCCUGGUGUAGCGGUGAAAUGCGUAGAUAUUGGGAGGAACACCAGUGGCGAAGGCGGCUCACUGGACCGGAACUGACGCUGAGGCGCGAAAGCGUGGGGAGCAAACAGG
rnacentral:rRNA from 1 species